AAUCAUCAACCGUUUAUCCUUUGUUGGAUGUGGCGGCUUGGACUUGGAGGCUUAUGCUGGUUUCUUAACGGGAUCGGCUCCUCUUGAAUGCAUUAGCUUGAACCUAUGCUGUAUCGGCUGUUCGGUGUGAUAAUUGUCUACGCCGUCGUAGCUGUGAGGCCCGUUGAAAGACGGUGGUAGGAUCAGCUUCUAACCGUCCCCGCGAACGGGACAACAUCUUAAUUGAC
rnacentral:misc_RNA from 1 species